UUUUUAUACAAUAAACCUGUUAUUUUUUAAAAACCUAAUGGUAUAUUAGAAAUAACCUGAGUUUUCUAAAAAAAAAUCAUAUCACCUUAAAUAUUUUUUAAAAAUUGAUUUGUUGUUCUCUCUUUCUUUCUUAUCCUAUUUUUGAUGGUAAGCAAAUACUGGUCAUUGUAGAGAAAAAUAUAGGCCCAUAGUUGACUUAAUAAUUAGAAUAUGAGAGCUGGAAGGGGCUUCAGAGAUCAUCAGGCCCAAUUCCUUAUUUAGCAGAUGAGAAGCUAGAUCCAGGGUCUUAGCUUGUUCCUGUAAAUUGUGGGUGACAAAACCUGGGCUGGAAUCCAGGUGCUAAGAUUCCCAGUGCAGGACAUUUCUACACCAUCAUGCCAGGCCAUUACAUUUGCCUCGGUGACGCACAGAGAGUAUUGGGAUCACUCUGCAGGGAGGUGUCAACUCUAAGCACAGGAAAGACAGUGAUGCUGAAGAUGGUCAGUCAGCUCUGCAGCUCUCCUCAGUGGCCAACUGCAGAUUCCACAGUGAGAGUUAAGACAAUGUCACCAGCGAUGGGAAGGCAAUUAUGGUAGCCUUUUCUGGAGAUCAGCUAUCUGGAAAGCUUGUAGGUGAGUCACAUGAAGGCAGAGGCCAGGCCCCGGGCUUCCCUCCCAGUUUCCUCCUCUUAUUCAAUUAUUGGGUCAUAAAUGCUACUUGAGAUAUUUUCAUUCUUCUCUUAACACUUAUCUUUCUGAAAAGUAGAGUAGUGUGCCCUUAACCCUUGUGAAACCAACUUCAGAUGUUGCAAUGAAACUAUUGCUUUGUCAACUUCUCUGCAGAAUUCUUUGCACUUGCACUAUUAUGUUAAGACUUUUGGUCACACACAUCAGAACUCCCACAUGAACCAAUUCAGGCAAAAGAGGGAAAGUACUAGCUCAAGAAAUCCAUGUAAAAGUUGACUCUCCAAACUGAGCAAAGGCUAGGGGGACAUGGAUCCAAGCCUUGGGAACCACAGGAACCAGAGACUUCAGGGCACCAAACCUUUGUCUCUCGUGUCUUUUCCUUACUCACGGUGGCUUCCUUCUCUUUCACUGCAGAGAGGCUGUCUCUAUUUCCUUGCCUGUAUUUCCAUGUGUCUCCAUCACCAGAAAUGAACUUAGCCAACGAUUUCUCAUCUGCUCCAAGUUAAGACAGCCCUCAAAAGGGCCAGUGUGGACCAGCUGGGACCAGAGUGCUGGGUCAUAUAAGAUGAAAAUUCCAACAUGAACACAUUGUUUGCCCCAGGGAAUGAAUGAAGGCCCCAGAAGAUGGAAAGGUCAGGGCCAAGACAUGGAUAUCCUCUCCCCCUCUCUGUUCUUAGAGAUAAUAAAUUUGAUGAGAAGAAACUGAACAAUUAAAUGGCAAGUGAGAAUCCUCAAGAAGUCAAAUAAAAAUCCUGGCCAAGAACAGCCUUCUUUUUCUUCUUCUUGUUUUUAAAAACAAUGGUUUUUUGCAUCCAGUGGGGGCAAAAACAAAAAACAAAACAACAACAACAACAAAAAACCUGCAGUGAAUCUCUGCUUGACUUGCCUCCCAAAGAAUCACACCUGGGUAUUUUAGGACCUAAGUCAAGUUUGAAGAACUGUGCUCCCUCUUCCCAGCCCUCUCUUUAGAAAACUAAACCAUGGGGGUAACAAUCCUGUAAUUUUAACUGUAUUUAUAAAUCCCUGAUUCUUUAUGUAGUGUUUUUUUUUCCUACACUGCACUUAGUCUGAAUGUUGCUAUUUUCACAGAGGAAAUCAGUGGAAAGAGACUAUAAUUAUAGGUCAAACACCAGCUCCGGAAGCAGUGAAGGCAGCAGAGAGCUGAGGACUCCCUGCGCUUUUCCGAUGACACUCUGGACAUCUCUUCCUUCUGUCCCCAAGCCUGGGCCAGCACUUCACCUCUUUAUCCCUAUAUCUUUGCCCCCUUUUGUUGGUCAGCCUCACAUAUCACAAGACAAAAAGGGAAGGUUGGAAUUGAAAGGUAACAAAUUAAACCUGCAUGAUGCUUGGGCAGGCCUGCUUCUUAGAGAUGAUUCAAACGGUAAAGAAAAGAAAAAAAAUUAAAAAAAA
rnacentral:lncRNA from 1 species